AAACAAUAUAGACGCACCUCGAAUUCAGAAAAAUCAAGAAGUUAAUUUAAGGUGCUGACAUCAUAGACCAUCGAAGGUGUCGAGAUUAGGGGCUCUCCAAACGCGACAAAGCUGUCACCUGAGACAUCUUAGAACAACAUAAUAUGUAUUGGAAGCAAGGGAAACCUUCUUGCUUUUUGGAGCAAUUGAAUGGUUUUUGGUGAAAAACAGCCAAUUUUGAGUAUUUUGAAAAACCGUCAAUUGAAAAACAAAGUGAAGACCUUGAAGUUUCUUGGAGAAUAUUUUCGGAAAUUUUCGUGGAGCCAAUUAACCCAGAUUUUGAAAAAAAGUUGAGCUGAAGUGUGAAAUCACCAAGACUGUGCUGCCUGUGAAGAAUUGGGCCUAGAAGGUUCCUCAGAUUUUUGUUAGAGGCACGAGAGAUAGCUUUGGAGAGCCAGGAUAUUAAGCUUCGAAUUGCAUAUUUUCAGGGAUUUUUCCAAUUAAUGAAACAUGGUCAGAAUUAGUAAGAAAGACAGCUAUUUAGCAGUCUAUUUUAACGUAGGAUGCAAACCUUCCCUCAAUUGUUUGUUAUUGAGGAAACUAAGGUUGACUGAAGAGUUUCCUUAGAAAUUCAGUAACGUGGGAAGCAAAGUAAGGGUUGGAGAAGGAUAUUUAAGGAGGCCUUCAUAGAGACAGAGGACACACAGAGAUUGGGAGGAAUUCUUCGAAGACAGCCGUCAGUUCUACCUUGGUGCAAUGUUAGACUUUUCAUGUUUUUCCUUGAGCUUUCAUCUGUGGUGCUUUCAUCUAUGGUGAUGUGUAACUAAAUAUUUUUGCUAGGACAUGAUGAAGUUUUAAUAUGAUACUCUAGUUGUUAUUG